rnacentral:rRNA from 1 species
GACGAACCGUGCGAACGUUGUUCGGAAUUACUGGGCGUAAAGGGCUCGUAGGCGGCCAACUAAGUCAGACGUGAAAUCCCCAGGCUCAACCUGGGAACUGCGUCUGAUACUGGAUGGCUUGAAUUCGGGAGAGGGAUGCAGAAUUCCAGGUGUAGCGGUGAAAUGCGUAGAUAUCUGGAGGAAUACCGGUGGCGAAGGCGGCAUCCUGGACCGACAUUGACGCUGAUGAGCGAAAGCUAGGGGAGCAAACGGG